rnacentral:rRNA from 1 species
UACGGAGGAUGCGAGCGUUAUCCGGAUUUAUUGGGUUUAAAGGGUGCGUAGGCGGAUCGUUAAGUCAGUGGUCAAAUUGAGGGGCUCAACCCCUUCCCGCCAUUGAAACUGGCGACCUUGAGUGGAAGAGAAGUAUGCGGAAUGCGUGGUGUAGCGGUGAAAUGCAUAGAUAUCACGCAGAACCCCGAUUGCGAAGGCAGCAUGCCGGCUUCCGACUGACGCUGAAGCACGAAAGCGUGGGGAUCGAACAGG